AGAGUCUUACAGGAAAGGAAUAGCGAACCAUCCUGACCCCGAGUCAUGCACGUGUCUUCGCAAGGGGGCGCGCGAAGCGUUGGCAGGGGCACAGGCAGGCAGGGUAUUGAGCUGCGAAAUCAAUCUUUACGUCCGGGGUGCCGACGCCGUUCGGCGCAGCGGAAGGCCACAUUAUGGGUGACGAAACACGCGAGCCAUCCAUGAACCCUGCGCAGCCAGAGACCC
rfam:Freshwater sediment metagenome lwMethenol_BCHA27058_x1, whole genome shotgun sequence.